CGAGUUAGCUGGACAGUCGCCGGUGGCCUGCCUUGGUAGGAAACGGGAGGAAAGUCCGGGCUCCAUAGGGCAGAGUGCCAGGUAACCCCUGGGGGGCGAGAGUCCACGGAAAGUGCAGCAGAAAGUAGACCGCCUCGCUAUGCGAGGUAAGGGUGAAAGGGUGUGGUAAGAGCGCACCGCGUGGGUGGUAACAUUCCACGGCUAGGUAAACCCCGCUCGGAGCAAGGCCAAAUAGGGAUUCAAUGGUGUGGUCCGCACCGAAUCCGGGUAGGCCGCUUGAGGGUUGUGGUGACGCACCCCCUAGAUGAAUGACUGUUCACGACAGAACCCGGCUUACAGGCUGACUCAGUGU
rnacentral:RNase_P_RNA from 1 species